AUUUUAAUAGCUUAAAAAAAGCCUAAUAUUGAAGAUAUUAAAAUGGAUGAGAUCCUUAAAAUU
rnacentral:tRNA from 1 species